CUAGGCUGGAUUGUGAAUUCAUGCAUAGAACCAGACCUGCUCUACACCUAAUGCCAAAAAAAAAGCCUGCAAAGUUCUCCUCUGCUACAAAGCAACACAAAAAGCCCUCCUAGUCCAUCACCUGUUGCUCAAGGCAUGUAAGAGCAGAAACACACUGAGCCCCUAGAGCCCACACUGAGAAGCUGAGCACUGAGAAGGGACCAGGAUGUGAGGAACCACAUUAGUGGUCUUUGGCAACUAUUUCUGCUGAGCAAAAGCCAGAAGGCUUGUUCCAGCUGGACCUUCCUUCGUUCUAGAAAGCAGCAAACAAGGAGAAGCACUACUUUAAUUACAUUUAGAAGUUUCUCCUAGGUACAGAGACAAGGUCAUGGAUCUUUCAGCAGUCUAUAUUCAAAACAUUUUACAUCAUAGCCAUGGGUGGGAUUUCAGCAGGGAAAUGCCAUGACAGAAAAUGCAAGGAGGAUCAUUCUGUCUGACUCACUCUAACAGGGAGACCUUGUGACCAAAGCACCACCACCAUUUUUUCCCCCAUUUUUGUCCUUCCACAGUAUUUGUUAGCACAUGGGGCUGAGAUGGGUGGCACGGAAGUGACAGCUCUGACACACAGCUGAACCCAGCAGGGCCAGAGUGGCAUGUGGGACUGUUUUUCUGCUCCAGCAGAACAAGGCAAGCCAGAGUGGUGACACUGAUCCCAAGUGAGUCCAGCCAAGCCAAGUGGAGCCCAGCAGGGUGGUAGGAAGAGGCAGUGAAGCGGCAGAUCUCAUUCCCACACACAUGCCCAGCGUGGCAGACUGAUGGCAGCGGCAGUGCCAAACAGAGCUCUGCAGGGACAGAGAGACACCCAUCACCAUCGCCACUGCCACCAUCCCUGCUGCAGAGAGGAAGCAGGAAACUGCCACUGCAGGUGCACAGCUGCUCCAGGCAGCACCAGCAGCCCCCAUCUACCAUCAGAACCAUUCUAAGGGGAGAGAGGAGAGGCUUUACAAGGACUACCUCAAGAAGAGGACAUAGAAUGGAGGGAAGGCCUUCGAAAGAAUAAACAACCCUCAUGCUGCCGCUUUUGCAAGGAAUAAAUGUCCAAGUUUCUUAGUAUCCAGACACAAAUCUGUGGAGUCUUGACAGCCAAGAAGCACAGGAACCUGGACACCUUGUUGUGAGAGACUAGAGGAGAUUGCUGGCUCAACACUUUUCAGGGGCUUGUAUGUGGGGAAGGGGGCAGAUCAAGCCUUGCUCUGGUGAGGCGAUGCCCCACUCGGCACGCCCCACACCCCCAGGCCUGUAUCCCAGCCCAGCAGUGGCCACUGAUCCCUGGCACACCAGAGGCAAUGCUCCACACCUGUGUCUGGAGCCCCUAACCCAGCUCCUAAAUGGCCAGGAAAGUAAUGGAUUUGCACCCAGAAACUGAUCUGAACUGCUCUCCACUGACACACUUGCUAAAAGCUUACAUAGAAAGCUUGUCCAGCACUAAAGAGAGAUGGGGAUGGAGAGAAACUAGCACCAUCCACAGUUUCUUCUGGAGAAAACAUGAACUUUUUUAGAAGAAAAUUAAAAACUCCCAGUAAAGGACCAUGCCUGGUAUCCAUAUGCAUGGAGGAUUGACUCAGAGCUGUAUGGUGCCCAUCAGCUAGAAAAGGAGCUUGUCCUGGGUUGACUAUAUGAUGCUUUUAUCCCCAAUUGUCUUGUUCUGUUUAUACCGAAUAAUAAGUUUUACACCUUUAAGUCUCUCUUCCAGACAGUGAAGAGGGGAGGGAAGAAGCGCGCAGUUUGUUUUCAGACUGCUCUCACUCCUCCACAUUCCUGCUCCUGGACUGUGUUGUCUGCGGAUGGACAGACAGCCGGACAGAGCUCCUUUUUCCCCUUUUCCUUGCUUUUAGUUAGUUUUAGCUAGCUGAGGCAAAGAAGUUCUCCGGAUUGUGAUUUUUUUCCUUUUUUCUUGGACCUGUUCAAGCCUGCUCUGGACUGAACACCCAGAAGAGCA